CUACGAUGGUAUGUAAGGCGUGACUUUUGAAUGAAGGCCUUGCCACACUCGUUACACUUGUAAGGUGUCUCUCCAGUAUGAAGUCUAUGAUGGCAUGUAAGGGAUGACUUCUGAUUGAAGGUCUUGCCACACUCAUGACACUUGUAAGGUUUCUCUCCAGUAUGAAGUCUAAGAUGG